rnacentral:rRNA from 1 species
AACGAACGCUGGCGGCAUGCCUAAUACAUGCAAGUCGAACGAUCUCUUCGGAGAUAGUGGCGCACGGGUGCGUAACGCGUGGGAAUCUGCCCUUGGGUUCGGAAUAACGUCGGGAAACUGACGCUAAUACCGGAUGAUGACGUAAGUCCAAAGAUUUAUCGCCCAGGGAUGAGCCCGCGUAGGAUUAGCUAGUUGGUUGGGUAAAGGCUGACCAAGGCGACGAUCCUUAGCUGGUCUGAGAGGAUGAUCAGCCACACUGGGACUGAGACACGGCCCAGACUCCUACGGGAGGCAGCAGUAGGGAAUAUUGGACAAUGGGGGCAACCCUGAUCCAGCAAUGCCGCGUGAGUGAUGAAGGCCUUAGGGUUGUAAAGCUCUUUUACCCGGGAUGAUAAUGACAGUACCGGGAGAAUAAGCCCCGGCUAACUCCGUG